rnacentral:rRNA from 1 species
GACGAACGCUGGCGGCGUGCCUAAUACAUGCAAGUUGAGCGCUGAAGGUUGGUACUUGUACCGACUGGAUGAGCAGCGAACGGGUGAGUAACGCGUGGGGAAUCUGCCUUUGAGCGGGGGACAACAUUUGGAAACGAAUGCUAAUACCGCAUAAAAACUUUAAACACAAGUUUUAAGUUUGAAAGAUGCAAUUGCAUCACUCAAAGAUGAUCCCGCGUUGUAUUAGCUAGUUGGUGAGGUAAAGGCUCACCAAGGCGAUGAUACAUAGCCGACCUGAGAGGGUGAUCGGCCACAUUGGGACUGAGACACGGCCCAAACUCCUACGGGAGGCAGCAGGAGGGAAUCUUCGGCAAUGGACGAAAGUCUGAACGAGCAACGCCGCGGGAGUGAAGAAGGUUUUCGGAUCGUAAAACUCUGUUGGUAGAGAAGAACGUUGGUGAGAGUGGAAAGCUCAUCAAGUGACGGUAACUACCCAGAAAGGGACGGCUAACUACGUG